UACAGGGGGUGCAAACGUUGCUCGGAAUCAUUGGGCGUAAAGCGCACGUAGGCGGUCUGUUAUGUCGGAUGUGAAAGCCCUUGGCUCAACUGAGGAAGUGCAUCCGAAACUGGCAGGCUAGAGUACUAAAAGAGGGUCGCGGAAUUCCCGGUGUAGAGGUGAAAUUCGUAGAUAUCGGGGAGGAACACCGGUGGCGAAGGCGGCGCCUGGGUAGAUACUGACGCUGAGGUGCGAAAAGCGUGGGGGAGCAAACAGG
rnacentral:rRNA from 1 species